rnacentral:rRNA from 1 species
GACGAACGCUGGCGGCGUGCUUAACACACGCAAGUCGAACGGAAAGGCUCCAGCUUGCUGGAGUACUCGAGUGGCGAACGGGUGAGUAACACGUGGGUAAUCUGCCCUGCACUCUGGGAUAAGCCUGGGAAACUGGGUCUAAUACUGGAUAUGACCUUUCUCCUUAUGGGGUUUGGUGGAAAGUUUUUCGGUGUAGGAUGAGCCCGCGGCCUAUCAGCUUGUUGGUGGGGUGAUGGCCUACCAAGGCGACGACGGGUAGCCGGCCUGAGAGGGUGAUCGGCCACAUUGGGACUGAGAUACGGCCCAGACUCCUACGGGAGGCAGCAGUGGGGAAUAUUGCACAAUGGGCGGAAGCCUGAUGCAGCGACGCCGCGUGAGGGAUGACGGCCUUCGGGUUGUAAACCUCUUUCAGCAGGGACGAAGCGUAAGUGACGGUACCUGCAGAAGAAGCACCGGCUAACUACGUG